rnacentral:rRNA from 1 species
CAGGCUUAACACAUGCAAGUCGAGGGGCAUCAGGAAGAAAGCUUGCUUUCUUUGCUGGCGACCGGCGCACGGGUGAGUAACACGUAUCCAACCUGCCCUUUACUCGGGGAUAGCCUUUCGAAAGAAAGAUUAAUACCCGAUAGCAUAAUGAUUCCGCAUGGUUUCAUUAUUAAAGGAUUCCGGUAAAGGAUGGGGAUGCGUUCCAUUAGGUUGUUGGUGAGGUAACGGCCCACCAAGCCUUCGAUGGAUGGGGGUUCUGAGAGGAAGGUCCCCCACAUUGGAACUGAGACACGGUCCAAACUCCUACGGGAGGCAGCAGUGAGGAAUAUUGGUCAAUGGGCGCUAGCCUGAACCAGCCAAGUAGCGUGAAGGAUGAAGGCUCUAUGGGUCGUAAACUUCUUUUAUAUAAGAAUAAAGUGCAGUAUGUAUACUGUUUUGUAUGUAUUAUAUGAAUAAGGAUCGGCUAACUCCGUGCCAGCAGCCGCGGUAAUGCGGAGGAUCCGAGCGUUAUCCGGAUUUAUUGGGUUUAAAGGGAGCGUAGGUGGACUGGUAAGUCAGUUGUGAAAGUUUGCGGCUCAACCGUAAAAUUGCAGUUGAUACUGUCAGUCUUGAGUACAGUAGAGGUGGGCGGAAUUCGUGGUGUAGCGGUGAAAUGCUUAGAUAUCACGAAGAACUCCGAUUGCGAAGGCAGCUCACUGGACUGCAACUGACACUGAUGCUCGAAAGUGUGGGUAUCAAACAGGAUUAGAUACCCUGGUAGUCCACACAGUAAACGAUGAAUACUCGCUGUUUGCGAUAUACAGUAAGCGGCCAAGCGAAAGCAUUAAGUAUUCCACCUGGGGAGUACGCCGGCAACGGUGAAACUCAAAGGAAUUGACGGGGGCCCGCACAAGCGGAGGAACAUGUGGUUUAAUUCGAUGAUACGCGAGGAACCUUACCCGGGCUUAAAUUGCAGUGGAAUGAUGUGGAAACAUGUCAGUGAGCAAUCACCGCUGUGAAGGUGCUGCAUGGUUGUCGUCAGCUCGUGCCGUGAGGUGUCGGCUUAAGUGCCAUAACGAGCGCAACCCUUAUCUUUAGUUACUAACAGGUUAUGCUGAGGACUCUAGAGAGACUGCCGUCGUAAGAUGUGAGGAAGGUGGGGAUGACGUCAAAUCAGCACGGCCCUUACGUCCGGGGCUACACACGUGUUACAAUGGGGGGUACAGAAGGCAGCUAGCGGGUGACCGUAUGCUAAUCCCAAAAUCCUCUCUCAGUUCGGAUCGAAGUCUGCAACCCGACUUCGUGAAGCUGGAUUCGCUAGUAAUCGCGCAUCAGCCACGGCGCGGUGAAUACGUUCCCGGGCCUUGUACACACCGCCCGUCAAGCCAUGGGAGCCGGGGGUACCUGAAGUACGUAACCGCAAGGAUCGUCCUAGGGUAAAACUGGUGACUGGGGCUAA